UACGGAGGGUGCGAGCGUUGUCCGGAAUCACUGGGCGUAAAGGGCGCGUAGGUGGCGGAGCAAGUCAACGGUGAAAGCUCGACGCUCAACGUCGAGUCGGCCGUCGAUACUGCUUUGCUUGAGCACUGUAGAGGCUAAUGGAAUUCCGGGUGUAGCGGUGGAAUGCGUAGAGAUCCGGAAGAACACCCGUGGCGAAGGCGGUCUCUG
rnacentral:rRNA from 1 species